rnacentral:rRNA from 1 species
GAUGAACGCUAGCGGGAGGCCUAACACAUGCCAGCCGAGCGGUAUUGUUUCUUCGGAAAUGAGAGAGCGGCGUACGGGUGCGUAACACGUGUGCAACCUGCCUUUGUCUGGGGGAUAGCCUUUCGAAAGGAAGAUUAAUACUCCAUAAUAUAUUGAACGGCAUCGUUUAAUAUUGAAAGCUCCGGCGGAUAGAGAUGGGCACGCGCAAGAUUAGCUAGUUGGUGAGGUAACGGCUCACCAAGGCGAUGAUCUUUAGGGGGCCUGAGAGGGUGAUCCCCCACACUGGUACUGAGACACGGACCAGACUCCUACGGGAGGCAGCAGUGAGGAAUAUUGGUCAAUGGGUGCAAGCCUGAACCAGCCAUCCCGCGUGAAGGACGACUGCCCUAUGGGUUGUAAACUUCUUUUGUAUAGGGAUAAACCUACCCUCGAGAGGGUAGCUGAAGGUACUAUACGAAUAAGCACCGGCUAACUCCGUG